rnacentral:rRNA from 1 species
GACGUAGGGCGCGAGCGUUGUCCGGAUUUAUUGGGCGUAAAGAGCUCGUAGGCGGCUUGUCGCGUCGAAUGUGAAAACUCGGGGCUCAACUCCGAGCUUGCAUUCGAUACGGGCAGGCUAGAGUUCGGUAGGGGAGACUGGAAUUCCUGGUGUAGCGGUGAAAUGCGCAGAUAUCAGGAGGAACACCGAUGGCGAAGGCAGGUCUCUGGGCAUUAACUGACGCUGAGGAGCGAAAGCAUGGGGAGCGAACAGG